rnacentral:piRNA from 1 species
UAUGUUCUAUUUCUUCCACAAUUGCAGGGUC